UACGAGCAAUUAUUUUUCUAAAACUUGUUCUAAUUAAUUGGGUCAAUUGUUUCAACAUUACAUAGUCAAGCCCAAACAAAUAAGUCAUUCAAGCCCAUCAAAAUGCCAUCCUAAAUCAGAAUUUUAAACCCAAAAGAAAAAGGGAAACAAAAAUCUCAACACCACCAUCAUCAAACAUCACGCAUCAUCAUCUUCUUCACCAUCAUCACCAUGUUCAUCAUCAUACAUCCAUGGAAGCUUCUUGCAAGUUGCAAAUCCACUGCUCAUCUUCUUCUACGUGUAACCCAUCAAUCCAAACACCAUCACCAACCUUCUCCUCCACAAGAAUCACCACCCAAAUCAUCCAAUCAAAUUUGAUUUUCAAUCUGAUUUCUCACACCAUUUCACCUAUAAAUAGAGCAAGAAUUUACUCAAUUCAAUUCACAAAUCGAUUGCAAACCCAUCCUCAAAAUUUCAGCAAGUUUAAAUUCAAGAAAAUUCAUUUAAAAAUCAAAUUAAAAACUCCCUGCUUUUACAACCACCGACCACCGCCGGCCACCUGAAGGUGGCCUCGCGCCGGCGUCUAGCCACCUCGCCGCCCUCCUGCUCGCCGUCCUCCCUCCUCUUCCCGUCGCCCACUCCUCCCUCUGUCUUCGUUCCUCUUUCGCGGCCCCCUUCUCUCCCCUCCCUUCUCGCUGCAGCCCACCGGAAACCACCACCACCAAAAACCCGCGGCCACCUCCCUCCUUGCCACCUGCAAAACCGACGCCACCCCAGCCCAAGCUGCGCACCAACCUCACGCAACUCCCCCUUCCCCUCCUCCUUUCCUCGUGCCUUUUCUCUGUAAACAAGACCAACAUAUGGUCUUUAAAAACAAAAUAGUAAAUUUAAAGGACCCAAGUUCAUAUUCCCUUGACCCAUUAAAGAAGGUCCUUGGAGCUCAAGAAGAACGGCUCAUCGAAAGUAAGGAAAACGAGUGCUAAUAGAGGUUGAGGUACCGAAGAGGACAACGGGAUGGAUUAGUGGUGAGGACGUAUCCGUUAAAGCAAGGUUAUUUAAGUUGAAUAAAUAAACUUAGUAGUUAAUUAUGUACUAAAACUCUAGCUUUAAUUCUAAGAAUUAUUACGGUUUGUAUUAUGACAAUUUAGUUAAUAUCACGAGUCUUUUGUUUCAUUAA